GCUGCUAUACAUGCAGUCGUACGCUUCUUUUUCCACCGGAGCUUGCUCCACCGGAAAAAGAAGAGUGGCGAACGGGUGAGUAACACGUGGGUAACCUGCCCAUCAGAAGGGGAUAACACUUGGAAACAGGUGCUAAUACCGUAUAACAAUCGAAACCGCAUGGUUUUGAUUUGAAAGGCGCUUUCGGGUGUCGCUGAUGGAUGGACCCGCGGUGCAUUAGCUAGUUGGUGAGGUAACGGCUCACCAAGGCCACGAUGCAUAGCCGACCUGAGAGGGUGAUCGGCCACAUUGGGACUGAGACACGGCCCAAACUCCUACGGGAGGCAGCAGUAGGGAAUCUUCGGCAAUGGACGAAAGUCUGACCGAGCAACGCCGCGUGAGUGAAGAAGGUUUUCGGAUCGUAAAACUCUGUUGUUAGAGAAGAACAAGGAUGAGAGUAACUGUUCAUCCCUUGACGGUAUCUAACCAGAAAGCCACGGCUAACUACGUGCCAGCAGCCGCGGUAAUACGUAGGUGGCAAGCGUUGUCCGGAUUUAUUGGGCGUAAAGCGAGCGCAGGCGGUUUCUUAAGUCUGAUGUGAAAGCCCCCGGCUCAACCGGGGAGGGUCAUUGGAAACUGGGAGACUUGAGUGCAGAAGAGGAGAGUGGAAUUCCAUGUGUAGCGGUGAAAUGCGUAGAUAUAUGGAGGAACACCAGUGGCGAAGGCGGCUCUCUGGUCUGUAACUGACGCUGAGGCUCGAAAGCGUGGGGAGCAAACAGGAUUAGAUACCCUGGUAGUCCACGCCGUAAACGAUGAGUGCUAAGUGUUGGAGGGUUUCCGCCCUUCAGUGCUGCAGCUAACGCAUUAAGCACUCCGCCUGGGGAGUACGACCGCAAGGUUGAAACUCAAAGGAAUUGACGGGGGCCCGCACAAGCGGUGGAGCAUGUGGUUUAAUUCGAAGCAACGCGAAGAACCUUACCASGUCUUGACAUCC
rnacentral:rRNA from 1 species